GCCUACAUGGUGUAGCAGUUGCACACUUGCCACGUAUUCAAAAGAUCCAGGUUCGAGUCCUGGUGAGGGCA
rnacentral:tRNA from 1 species